rnacentral:rRNA from 1 species
UACAGAGACUGCAAGCGUUGCUCGGAAUCACUGGGCGUAAAGGGUGCGUAGGCGGGUCUUUAAGUCAGGGGUGAAAUCCUGGAGCUCAACUCCAGAACUGCCUUUGAUACUGAGGAUCUUGAGUUCGGGAGAGGUGAGUGGAACUGCGAGUGUAGAGGUGAAAUUCGUAGAUAUUCGCAAGAACACCAGUGGCGAAGGCGCUCACUGGCCCGAUACUGACGCUGAGGCACGAAAGCGUGGGGAGCAAACAGG